GACGAACGCUGGCGGCGUGCUUAACACAUGCAAGUCGAACGGAAAGGCCCUGCUUUUGUGGGGUGCUCGAGUGGCGAACGGGUGAGUAACACGUGAGUAACCUGCCCUUGACUUUGGGAUAACUUCAGGAAACUGGGGCUAAUACCGGAUAGGAGCUCCUGCUGCAUGGUGGGGGUUGGAAAGUUUCGGCGGUUGGGGAUGGACUCGCGGCUUAUCAGCUUGUUGGUGGGGUAGUGGCUUACCAAGGCUGUGACGGGUAGCCGGCCGGAGAGGGUGACCGGCCACAUUGGGACUGCGAUACGGCCCAGACUCCUACGGGAGGCAGCAGUGGGGAAUAUUGCACAAUGGGCGGAAGCCUGAUGCAGCAACGCCGCGUGCGGGAUGACGGCCUUCGGGUUGUAAACCGCUUUCGCCUGUGACGAAGCGUGAGUGACGGUAAUGGGUAAAGAAGCACCGGCUAACUACGUG
rnacentral:rRNA from 1 species